AUGGGGUUCCUCAGCCUCGUGGGCAACUCCUUCGGGUGCUCGGCCUCCGGCGAGCGCCUCGUCUCAGCGGCCCGGGACGGCGACCUGCAGGAGGCGCGCGCGCUCCUCGAGUACAACCCCCGGCUGGCCCGCUACUCCACAUUCGGCGGCCGCAACUCGCCGCUGCACUACGCCGCGGCGCAGGGUCACCAUGAGAUUGUUUCUCUGUUGCUCGAAUCCGGUGUGGAGAUCAACCUCAGGAAUUACAGGGGGCAGACUGCUCUGAUGCAAGCUUGCCAAUAUGGCCACUGGGAGGUUGUUCAGACACUAAUGCUCUUCAAUGCAAAUAUCCACAGGACAGAUUAUUUGAAUGGCGGGACUGCUAUCCACUUUGCUGCGCUGCAUGGUCAUGCCCGGUGCCUUCGUCUUGUGCUUGCAGAUUAUGUGCCAAGCAUCCCAAACUUCUUAAACCAGACGAACCACAGAUCGACUGAAGAAGUUUCAGAUGCUGAUUUUGAUGAUGAUGGUUUGGUCAAGAUGGUAAACUGGAAGGCAGAUGGAGGCCUAACCCCACUUCAUAUGGCAGCGUUAAAUGGCCAUGUAGAGUGUGUACAGUUGUUAUUGGACCUGGGGGCAUCUGUUUCUGAAGUCACCAUUGAAGAUGGAACAACUAUCGACCUUAUAGGAUCAGGUAGCACCCCACUUCAUUAUGCUGCUUGUGGUGGAAAUGCUGUAUGUUGUCAACUCCUUAUUGCUCGAGGAGCCAACCUUGCUGCCAAAAAUGCUAGUGGCUCGACCCCGUUAAUGGUAGCUCAUUCAUGGCAUAGAAACUCUAUUGAGGAAAUUUUGAGUAAUGAACCAGGGGGUCAAAUACGUACUCUUGCUUCUCCAUAUUUGUGCCUCCCACUUAUGAGUAUCAUGAGCAUUGCCAGGGAGUGUGGUUGGAGGUACCUAAACAAGUCACCUGUAUGUAUUGACCCAUGUGCUGUCUGCUUAGAUGGGAGCUGCUCUGUUGCUGCAGAAGGAUGCAAACAUGAGUUCUGCACGAGAUGCGCCCUGUACCUCUGCUCGACCAGCUACACGUCGGCGAACCCCGCGGGCGCCAUACCGUGCCCUCUGUGCCGGCACCCGAUCACCUCCUUCGUGGCGCUCCCCGGCACGAGCCCGAUAAGGGAGCAGCUCCCUCGGAACAGCCUCUCGCUGUCGUUCUGCGCGACGUGCCCGGCGGUGAGCUCCGACUCGGCGGCCCCUGGUGGAGGCCAUCCGUACCGGGCCGGCAGCGAGCUCCACUGCGGCGGGGGCAUGCGCAUGCCGCCGAUGGGGUCGUCGUCGUUCCGGUCCCUGAGCUGCCAGGCGAUGAAGCUGAACCCGUCGUUCUGCAUGGGCGCCAUGGACACCAACCCGUGCCUCAUCCGGUGCUCGCGGUUCGGGUCGAGCCUGGGCCGGUCGGCGUCCCACGGCGAGGCCAACAGGCGAGGGGCGUGGCCCGUGACAUUCAGCCCCAUCGUCGCCACCAGCAGCUGA
rnacentral:rRNA from 1 species